rnacentral:lncRNA from 1 species
GCGGGAUCUUCCGGGCAGAACAGGAAGAGAAGGAGAGAGAGGCAGAGAAAGAUGGAGAACGACUGAGAAAGGAGACAAGAUGGAACCUAUAGGAGAGGAUGAUGAGCCAGAACCACGUGGAGCCAUAAGUAAUUGGGCAUUUCUUAAACGGUUAAGUAAUGUAGGGUACAUCUGUCCAAUUUAGGUGUGUAGAUCAUAUCUAUAUCAAUUAAGUUUUGAGUUCUUUGGGUGGAUAUUUUGGGGGUUGAAGAUUUACUGUUAUAAAUCUGGCUGAUAAAUUAUAAGCCUCCGGAGUUUUCAUUAUAACGGUCUAGGUAGGGAUUUAGAGCCAGCCACCACCAGUCUGGGCAGGCUAGCUGCAGGGGAAGGAAGGCUUGGGAAAUGUGAGCGGUUCAGGAUAUGAAAGGUUUAAGAGUGUUGUAUUGGUAUGUCAAGUUGACAAGGAGUCGAUUGUCUUGGUUAAUUUUUUUUUUUUUUUUUUUUUUUGUCAAUUUAAACAUGCUGAAGUCAUCUGGGAAGAGGAACCUCUAUUGAGAAAAUGCCUCCUUCUGAUUACCUAUAGGCAAGUCUGUGAGACAUUUUCUUGUGGGACAUUUUCUUGAUUAACAGUUGAUGUGGAAGUAGCAAGCCCAUUCGGGACAACCUUGGGCAGGUGGCCCUGGAUAUCAUAAGAAAGCAAGCUGAGCAAUCCAAGGGAGCAAACUUGUUUUCUACUUGAGUUGCUGCCCUGGCUUCCCUUCAUGGUGGACUAUAAGCUGAAAGGCAUCUAUUUCCUUGAAGGACUGAGGGCCCUAAAAGACCAGAGGAACAGAGAUGGAGUGGAAGAGUCCAGUGGUGCAUACUAGAUCUGGAGC